AGGUCCCAAAUCCUAAUCUCUCUCUUUAUCUCUUCCAAUUUGUCUGCGUACCUUUUUCGAGAUUUGUAUGAUUCUGUUUAAAUAGAUAGACAUCUUAUUGAAAAUGGCUAAGCUUAGCAGGUCUGUUCAUUUCUAGUGCACCUUUGUUGGGUUGAUGUUGAAUUUCUGUUUAAAGUUUAUGGUUUUGGUGAGAUUAAGCUCAAUCUUAUUAAAUUUCUAGCUUGGACCUCAUUUGUUCGCUAUAAUGGGGUACGCAUAAAGCAUAAUGUGUAGCUCAAGUCUGAAAUUCUACUGUAAUUAUGUUAAAAAAAAUCUUCGGAGUUAAUCUUAGGCCAUAUUUACAGUGAAUUCAAUAUGAACAUCAAAGGGCCUUCUUUUCCUUUUGCU
rnacentral:misc_RNA from 1 species